AGAUGUUAUUUCCUAAUUUAGGACUUAAUCCCUUCCCCUCCCCAUCCCCAGCCCUGAAUCCAUCUGAAACCCUAGGCUGCGCUGUGCACUUGAAGUGAUGUGCCUCAGAGUCCUAAAUUCAGUGAGCGUGCCUGAGGGGAGACAACACAAGAGAGGAGAGACAGUUGAACACCACCAUUGGCUGGGACCUGAAAAAAUGGUGCUGGAGGAACGGAGGAUUAGAACUUAAUUGUAAAAGGAAAAUUGAGUCUUGGCAGAUGAUUUUCUUCAUUUCCACGUCCACCAUGGCCCAGAUCCUCUGGCUGGCCGGUUGAUGGGACUGUCCAACGCUUGCUGCUUGGGUUCAGUGCAGAUAUCCCCAGUGCCUACAGACUGAAAGACCCGGGAUCAGGUGGCAAUUGGAUGGUGCCAAAUCCAGGAAGAGAAAGAGAAAUGGACUCUGACGAGCGAAGAUGGAAGUGACUUGACAGCUCCAAGCUCAGCAGUUGUCUCCAAUUAGGACAGGUUAAGGUUGGAAUCACAAGCUUCACUGGGAGAGCAGUAUGCAGGAAGCUGGUUUUCAGGCCACAAAUGCUUUCACAGAGUGCAAAUUCACCUGCGCCAGUGGUAAAUGCUUGUAUCUUGGUUCAUUGAUUUGUAACCAACAGAAUGACUGUGGGGAUAACAGUGAUGAAGAGAACUGUCUGCUUGUAACAGAGCAUCCACCUCCAGGCAUCUUUAGCUGUGAGUACUUGCUCUUCGUGUGCAUCUGUGUAUGUAUGUGGAAUAUGUCUGUUACCUCAAAAAUCAGUGUCUUCAGAAACCUGGUCUGCUGUAUCAUAUCUAGGGGAGCUGAGAUAGUGCACUGAACCAGCAGUGCUGUCUAACAUGCUUUCUGUGGGUGUCUGAAUCUGGAAAGUUGAGGUCAUGUGGAGGGAAGUGGAGGAGUUUGUGCUGCAGGAAAUGA